rnacentral:rRNA from 1 species
CAGCAGUCGCCGCGGGAAUACAGAGGGUGCGAGCGUUAAUCGGAUUUACUGGGCGUAAAGCGUGCGUAGGCGGCUUUUUAAGUCGGAUGUGAAAUCCCUGAGCUUAACUUAGGAAUUGCAUUCGAUACUGGGAAGCUAGAGUAUGGGAGAGGAUGGUAGAAUUCCAGGUGUAGCGGUGAAAUGCGUAGAGAUCUGGAGGAAUACCGAUGGCGAAGGCAGCCAUCUGGCCUAAUACUGACGCUGAGGUACGAAAGCAUGGGGAGCAAACAGGAUUAGAGACCCCCGUAGUCCCUGUCUCUUAUAC